rnacentral:lncRNA from 1 species
ACUCUGGCCUCUUCUUCCCUGCUUGCAGAUCUCACUGGACCCACACACCCUGGGGUGGAAGGCAAAACUCCCAUCACAAGGAAGCGAAGGCCUAUUGACCAACGGGAGCUGUGGUUCAAAUCAAUGGCGUCAAACUACAAAGAGCUUGAAUGAAUAGUCAAGAAGCAUCCAAGAUUUGGGUUUUGAAAAACCCCCCACAUCAGGGGGCGGCAGAAUGAGGAACGGCCAUGGCUGCUCAGGGCAUCUUGAGCCGACACGUGUGAUGGACGGUCUACCUGGCUUCAACCUCCAAUCACCCUAUUGUACCAACCAGCUGUGUCACCCUCCCCUGGACGACCCCAGCACCGUCACAUGUGGUGAGCUCAGAACCCAGUGAGUGAGGUAGCAGGUGACCACCAGGAGGGGGCUGACAGGCCAGGACUGGCCCAGCCACUGCUCCUGGAGGGCUGAUCCCCUAGAUUCAACUGGAUGGGUGAGUUCCUGGCCCACGGUUGAACCCGUGAAUGGGCUCUCCUGCUCAUCAGUGACCUGUCUAGUCACAGAAUUUUGCUUGUCACCUUGCUGGGUUGGAAGCUAUCACGAACUCAUUUCUCACACUCUUGCCUCCUGAGCCAAAACCUCAGACCACUUCUCAAGCUCUUGUCUUUCCCAAAUCCAAGUUCACAAGCCUUCCGACCCCGGUAACACACGCGAUGUCCCACACCCCUGGAGACCAGCAGGAAUCUUCUCGUCUCUCUGCGAAUCAGGGACCCCACACUUUGGGUAGUCGAGGAAAAGGAGAGCUUAUACUUUCUAAAAUGCCAAAGGUUUCUUAAAAGUUAUCUCUGCCUCGGGGCACCUGGGUGGCUCAGUCGGUUGAACGUCCGACUUUGGCUCGGGUCAUGAUCUCACGGUUUGUGAGUUCGAACCCUACGUCGGGCUCUGUGCCGACAGCUCAGAGCCUGGAGCCUGCUUCGGAUUCUGUGUCUCCCUCUCUCUCUGCCCCUCCCCCGCUCAUGCUCUGUCUCUCUCUCUCUCUGUCAAAAAUAAAUAAAUAUUAAAAAAAUUUUUUAAAAAGUUC